rnacentral:rRNA from 1 species
GAUGAACGCUGGCGGCGUGCCUAAUACAUGCAAGUCGAGCGAACAGACGAGGAGCUUGCUCCUCUGACGUUAGCGGCGGACGGGUGAGUAACACGUGGAUAACCUACCUAUAAGACUGGGAUAACUUCGGGAAACCGGAGCUAAUACCGGAUAAUAUAUUGAACCGCAUGGUUCAAUAGUGAAAUACGGUUUUGCUGUCACUUAUAGAUGGAUCCGCGCCGCAUUAGCUAGUUGGUAAGGUAAAGGCUUACCAAGGCAACGAUGCGUAUCCGACCUGAGAGGCUGAUAGGCCACACUGGAACUGAGCCGCGGUCCAUCCUCCUGCGGGAGGCAGCCGUGUGGAAUCUUCCGCAAUGGGCGAAAACCUGACAGAACAAGGCCGCGUGUGAGACGAAGAUCUUCGGAUCGUAAAACUCUGUUAGUAGGGAAAAACCACUGUCUAUGUAACUAUGCACGUCUUGACGGUACCUAAUCAGAAAGCAACGGCUAACUACGUG